UGAGGAAUAUUGGUCAAUGGACGCAAGUCUGAACCAGCCAUGCCGCGUGCAGGAAGACGGCUCUAUGAGUUGUAAACUGCUUUUGUACGAGGGUAAACGCAGAUACGUGUAUCUGUCUGAAAGUAUCGUACGAAUAAGGAUCGGCUAACUCCGUGCCAGCAGCCGCGGUAAUACGGAGGAUUCAAGCGUUAUCCGGAUUUAUUGGGUUUAAAGGGUGCGUAGGCGGUCGGAUAAGUUAGAGGUGAAAUCCCGGGGCUUAACUUCGGAAUUGCCUCUGAUACUGUUCGGCUAGAGAGUAGUUGC
rnacentral:rRNA from 1 species